rnacentral:rRNA from 1 species
AACGAACGCUGGCGGCAGGCCUAACACAUGCAAGUCGAGCGAGAUCUUCGGAUCUAGCGGCGGACGGGUGAGUAACGCGUGGGAACGUGCCCUUUGCUACGGAAUAGCCCCGGGAAACUGGGAGUAAUACCGUAUGUGCCCUACGGGGGAAAGAUUUAUCGGCAAAGGAUCGGCCCGCGUUGGAUUAGGUAGUUGGUGGGGUAACGGCCUACCAAGCCGACGAUCCAUAGCUGGUUUGAGAGGAUGAUCAGCCACACUGGGACUGAGACACGGCCCAGACUCCUACGGGAGGCAGCAGUGGGGAAUCUUAGACAAUGGGGGAAACCCUGAUCUAGCCAUGCCGCGUGAGCGAUGAAGGCCUUAGGGUUGUAAAGCUCUUUCAGCUGGGAAGAUAAUGACGGUACCAGCAGAAGAAGCCCCGGCUAACUCCGUG